GAAGGUGUAGCUCAGUAGUAGAGUGCUUGCCCAGAGUGCUUGAGGCCCUGGGUUCAAUCCCCAGCACUGCA
rnacentral:tRNA from 1 species